rnacentral:misc_RNA from 1 species
GAUCUUUCUCUUCUUCAUUUGCCUGUAAAUAGAGAGAGAGAAGGUAUUAACCCAGAUGACAUAUAUAUACUUUCAAAUUAAUACUACUAGAAUUUUUUAAAAUUUUCUUUUCCAUUUAAAUGAAAAAAAAAUAUUUACCUAGACUCAAUCAUCAUGAAUUUAAAAUCAACAUAUUUAUUCUUAGAAAAUAGAUUGGGUGGUGGUGGAGGGGAAUUUUAAAAAAAAUAUAUAUAUAUAUCUUAGAAUUAUUUUUAAAUAUUUAAGAUAUUUCUCAAAUUUUCAUAUUAAUUUUUCAAAGGACAAAA